ensembl:lncRNA
UGAGAAUUCUACAAACUAAUUUCUUUGUUUGAAACAUUUUUUCCCCCUGUGCACCUCUUUUCCUAAUAGACUCACCAUAGUACAUACUUCUAAGGCCACUGAGAGAGGCAAAAGAAAUCGUUACCACAGAGUUACCUGUGUGAUACAGCGUUUUUGCUUUUCCUCUUGGAGGGUUCAGAGCAUGAAAAAAAAAAAACAGGUAUUAGUCUUGUCUGAAUUCUAAAACGAGGGGACUCUGGUGGGUGCUUUCAUUUCUGUCCAGCCAACCACUUACAAAUCGUUUUUCUUCUUUUGCUUCUGAAACUUCUGUGAAAAUUGCGUGUAUCAGAUUUAUUGGUAGCAUUGCUCCGAUUUCAAGGCCAAAAGACACUAAAUAUUUGUGUGACGCUGUUAAAUAAAGUUUUUAAGAUUUACAUUCAUCCAGUGGGUCUCUGUAGUGAUGUUUUGUGGUGGAUAGCCAGUUUACAUGCUGACCUAUUUCUUUAAUGUUAUCAGAUUUAAAAACAACUUCAACCUGUCAUUUUGACUGAAAGUUGGGAAUAUAGUAAGUAAUGGUUUCACCAAAUAGGGCAUUUUAAACCAAAAUGUGUGGAAAGAUUUGAAAGUAGUGCAUUUUUACUUUUUAGAGUUCCAUGCUGCAGUAUGUUUAAAUUCAGUUUUUCUUAAAAGCUGUGUUUUAAUGUAACAUGUAACCAGUGUAACGUUAGCUUUUGACUGGUAAACUUGAAGUGCUUUUCUAUUUCAGGUUGACUUUAAAAAGCCAAUGAGCAGUACUCAGAGGUUAUGGAUUCUUAAGCAAUUAAUGGAGUAGUAUUUUGAUAUGGAGUCUAAAAUGAAAGCACCUUGUAUUGUCUGCUUUUAAAGUAUUCUAUAGUUUUAACUUAAAGCGUAAAGAGUAACAUUUUAUCUUAUAUUAAUAAAAAUUAACAUUUUUCACUUAUUAAUGUACAUGUGUCACUUGCUUCAUGACCAGCGUUUAUUACCCUUUAAGUUCUGUGCAUAACCAUUCACCAAAUACUGCUGCUCUGGUUUCUUGAAGGAAACGGUCUGUGCUAUGCUAUGGUAUGUUGACAUCUUGCUGCUUGACAAAUAGGUUUAUAAGGAAUUAGAACUGUGUGUGUUCAUAAUGCCUUUGUAUAACGAGAUGAGGAGUCCGUGUAAAUGUUAUUCGCUGUGAAACAGUUACUUGCUGUUAAAACUGGUCAACACUAUGUCUAA